ensembl:misc_RNA Metazoa_SRP Metazoan signal recognition particle RNA
GCUGGGUAUGGUGGCAUAUGCCUGUAGUCCCAGCUACUUGAGGGACUGAGGCAGAAAGAUUGCUUGAACCCAGGAGUUCCUGAGUUGUAGUGUACUAUGCUGGUGAAUGUUUGCACUAAGUUUAGCAUCAAUAUGAUGACCUCCCAGGAGUGGGGGAGCUACCAGGUUGCCUAAAGAAUGAUAAACUGGACAGGUCAUAAACAAAGCAGGUCAAAACCAAUUUGACCAUGCUGUAUAUAGGCAUGAUUCCACUAUUGAUCAGUCUUUGCUGAUCAGUAGUGGGAUCGUGACUACGAAUAGCCACUGCACUCCAGUCUGGGCAACAUAGCACAACUCCAUCUCU